rnacentral:sRNA from 4 species
UAUCUCUCCGUACGGGAAAGGAUGAGAAGCUUCGACUAAGGUUCGAUUCGAGCGCAGCGAGAAAGCGUUGCCGCAGGCAACGACCCGAAGGGUGAGGAGCGGAGCGACGAAUAAUCCUUCCCCCACCACCA